AGCCAAAAUCUGAUCGCGUAUUGAAUCGAGAUCAUUAGGAAGCCCAGCAAGAGUAAGAACUAGAAACAGCUUUUGUCGUUACUCUUGCUGCUUUGCAACGCCAGCAGAAACUGGCAUCAACGUCUCUAAUUCCUCCAUAACUGCCUGUACGUGUCCCAAGUAAGUAGACAUAUCUAAUUCCUGUUUCUUUAAAUUUGUCAUCCGCGAUAUCACAUCAUAGAAACGA
rnacentral:lncRNA from 1 species